rnacentral:rRNA from 1 species
GGAUGAGCCCGCGGCCUAUCAGCUNGUUGGUGAGGUAGUGGCUCACCAAGGCNACAACGGGUAGCCGGCCUGAGAGGGCGACCGGCCACACUGGGACUGAGACACGGCCCANACUCCUACGGGAGGCAGCAGUGGGGAAUAUUGCGCAAUGGGCGAAAGCCUGACGCAGCAACGCCGCGUGCGGGAUGAAGGCCUUCGGGUUGUAAACCGCUUUCAGCAGGGAAGAAGCGAAAGUGACGGUACCUGCAGAAGAAGCACCGGCUAACUACGUGCCAGCAGCCGCGA